rnacentral:misc_RNA from 1 species
CAAAUUGCUUUGCCAGGCCAAAAUCAGUCAACAUUACAUGGCCAUCGGCAUCCAACAGGAUAUUUUCAGGUUUAAGAUCCCUAUGCAUUAUACCAUUUGCAUGAAGGUGGGAUACCGCAGAAACAAUCUCAGCAGCAUAUAUACGAGCCAGAUCCUCUCUGAAAAGGCCAUGAUGAUAGAGCUGAAAAAAGAGGUGACCCCCAUUGAUGAAAUCCAAAACAAGGUAUAAUCUAUAUUUGGU